GUUCUCGUGGCCCAGUUGGUUAGUGCGUCGCACUUAUAAGCAAUACUUGAGUAUAUACGAAGGUCGAGGGUUCGAUCCCCUCCGAGAGCU